rnacentral:rRNA from 1 species
GCAGGGGGGCUGCUUUAACAUGCAGUCGAACGGCAGCACGGGCUUCGGCCUGGUGGCGAGUGGCGAACGGGUGAGUAAUACAUCGGAACGUACCCAGAAGUGGGGGAUAACGUAGCGAAAGUUACGCUAAUACCGCAUACGAUCUACGGAUGAAAGUGGGGGACCGCAAGGCCUCAUGCUUUUGGAGCGGCCGAUGUCUGAUUAGCUAGUUGGUGAGGUAAUGGCUCACCAAGGCGACGAUCAGUAGCUGGUCUGAGAGGACGACCAGCCACACUGGAACUGAGACACGGUCCAGACUCCUACGGGAGGCAGCAGUGGGGAAUUUUGGACAAUGGGCGCAAGCCUGAUCCAGCAAUGCCGCGUGAGUGAAGAAGGCCUUCGGGUUGUAAAGCUCUUUUGUCAGGGAAGAAACGGUAGAGGCUAAUAUCCUUUGCUAAUGACGGUACCUGAAGAAUAAGCACCGGCUAACUACGUGCCAGCAGCCGCGGUAAUACGUAGGGUGCAAGCGUUAAUCGGAAUUACUGGGCGUAAAGCGUGCGCAGGCGGUUUUGUAAGUCUGUCGUGAAAGCCCCGGGCUCAACCUGGGAAUUGCGAUGGAGACUGCAAGGCUUGAAUCUGGCAGAGGGGGGUAGAAUUCCACGUGUAGCAGUGAAAUGCGUAGAGAUGUGGAGGAACACCGAUGGCGAAGGCAGCCCCCUGGGUCAAGAUUGACGCUCAUGCACGAAAGCGUGGGGAGCAAACAGGAUUAGAUACCCUGGUAGUCCACGCCCUAAACGAUGUCUACUAGUUGUCGGGUUUUAAUUAACUUGGUAACGCAGCUAACGCGUGAAGUAGACCGCCUGGGGAGUACGGUCGCAAGAUUAAAACUCAAAGGAAUUGACGGGGACCCGCACAAGCGGUGGAUGAUGUGGAUUAAUUCGAUGCAACGCGAAAAACCUUACCUACCCUUGACAUGUCAGGAAGGCCGAAGAGAUCUGGCUGUGCCCGAAAGGGAACCUGAACACAGGUGCUGCAUGGCUGUCGUCAGCUCGUGUCGUGAGAUGUUGGGUUAAGUCCCGCAACGAGCGCAACCCUUGUCAUUAGUUGCUACGCAAGAGCACUCUAAUGAGACUGCCGGUGACAAACCGGAGGAAGGUGGGGAUGACGUCAAGUCCUCAUGGGCCCUUAUGGGUAAGGGUUUCCACCGUCAUACAAUGGGUACAUACCAAAGGGGCCGCCAACCCGCGCAGGGGGG